UCCCUGGUGGCUGAGACAGUAAAGAAUCUGCCUGCAAUGCAGGAGACCCAGGUUUGAUCCCUGGGUCGGGAA
rnacentral:tRNA from 1 species